rnacentral:rRNA from 1 species
CGAACGCUGGCGGCAGGCCUAAUACAUGCAAGUCGAACGGCUCUUCGGAGCAGUGGCGGACGGGUGAGUAACGCGUGGGAAUGUGCCCUUUGGUACGGAACAACACAGGGAAACUUGUGCUAAUACCGUAUGUGCCCUUCGGGGGAAAGAUUUAUCGCCAUUGGAGCAGCCCGCGUUGGAUUAGGUAGUUGGUGAGGUAAAGGCUCACCAAGCCUACGAUCCAUAGCUGGACUGAGAGGAUGACCAGCCACACUGGGACUGAGACACGGCCCAGACUCCUACGGGAGGCAGCAGUAGGGAAUCUUGCGCAAUGGGCGAAAGCCUGACGCAGCCGUGCCGCGUGUAUGAUGAAGGUCUUAGGAUUGUAAAAUACUUUCACCGGGGAAGAUAAUGACGGUACCCGGAGAAGAAGCCCCGGCUAACUUCGUGCCAGCAGCCGCCGUAAAAC